AUUGAACGCUGGCGGCAGGCCUAACACAUGCAAGUCGAGCGGAUGAAGGGAGCUUGCUCCUGGAUUCAGCGGCGGACGGGUGAGUAAUGCCUAGGAAUCUGCCUGGUAGUGGGGGAUAACGUCCGGAAACGGGCGCUAAUACGGCAUACGUCCUGAGGGAGAAAGGGGGGGAUCUUCGGACCUCACGCUAUCAGAUGAGCCUAGGUCGGAUUAGCUAGUUGGUGGGGUAAAGGCCUACCAAGGCGACGAUCCGUAACUGGUCUGAGAGGAUGAUCAGUCACACUGGAACUGAGACACGGUCCAGACUCCUACGGGAGGCAGCAGUGGGGAAUAUUGGACAAUGGGCGAAAGCCUGAUCCAGCCAUGCCGCGUGUGUGAAGAAGGUCUUCGGAUUGUAAAGCACUUUAAGUUGGGAGGAAGGGCAGUAAGUUAAUACCUUGCUGUUUUGACGUUACCAACAGAAUAAGCACCGGCUAACUUCGUG
rnacentral:rRNA from 1 species